UGGGGAGUCGCCAAGCGGCAAGGCUACGGUUUUUGGUACCGUCAUUCGAGGGUUCGAAUCCUUCCUCCCCAACCA
rnacentral:tRNA from 1 species